rnacentral:lncRNA from 1 species
CUGUUGGUGGUGCUGGUGGACUCGGUCCCAACGGAGAUGGAGCUGGAGCCUUCAACUUCUUUUUGCUUGGAGCGGGAGCUGGAACCAGAGCAGGAGGAGCGGCGAGAGGAGCUGGUGGUGGAACAGCUGGAGGAGGAGUUGCUGGUGGUGGAGUAGCUGGAGGAGGAGUUGCUGGAGGAGGAGAAGCAGGAGGUGGAGUGGCAGGAGGAGGAGAGGCUGGUGGUGGAGUAGCUGGAGGAGGAGAGACUGGUGGUGGAGUGGCGGGAGGAGGAGUGGCAGGAGGUGGAGUUGCAGGAGGAGGAGUAGCCGGUGGUGGAGUUGAAACUGGAGGAGGAGUAGCCGGAGGUGGAGAUUGAGUUACUGGAGGAGGAGCUGAAACCGGAGGAGGAGUAGUGGUUGGAGUUGGCGGAGCAGGAGUAGUUGUCGGAGAUUGGCCAGAAACACCAGCAAUAACAAUGCAGAUCAAAGAAACAAAGAUUUUAACCUUUUGAUGCCUCAUUGUAGUUGAACUCUCUCUUUCUCUCUCAAACUGC